UACGUAGGGACCGAGCGUUGUCCGGAAUCAUUGGGCGUAAAGAGCGUGUAGGCGGCCUUUUAAGUCCUGCGUGAAAUCCUGCGGCUCAACCGCAGACGGUCGUGGGAAACUGGAAGGCUAGAGUGCGGGAGAGGAGAGUGGAAUUCCCGGUGUAGCGGUGAAAUGCGCAGAUAUCGGGAGGAACACCGGUGGCGAAGGCGGUUCUCUGGGCCUUACCUGACGCUGAGGAGCGAAAGCGUGGGGAGCGAACAGG
rnacentral:rRNA from 1 species